rnacentral:rRNA from 1 species
CCUACGGGCGGCAGCAGUGGGGGAUAUUGCACAAUGGGGGAAACCCUGAUGCAGCGACGCCGCGUGUGGGAAGACGGUCCUCUGGAUUGUAAACCACUGUCCCCAGGGACGAAGAUGACGGUACUUGGGGAGGAAGCUCCGGCUAACUACGUGCCAGCAGCCGCGGUAAUACGCAGGGAGCGAGCGUUGUCCGGAAUUACUGGGUGUAAAGGGAGCGUAGGCGGGGAUGCAAGUUGGGUGUCAAAACUACCGGCUCAACUGGUAGUCGCACUCAAAACUGCAGCUCUUGAGUGAAGUAGAGGCAGGCGGAAUUCCAAGUGUAGCGGUGAAAUGCGUAGAUAUUAGGAGGAACACCAGUGGCGAAGGCGGCCUGCUGGGCUUUUACUGACGCUGAGGCUCGAAAGCGUGGGUAUCGAACAGGAUUAGAUACCCCGGUAGUC